CGAGACGUAGCAUAAUUGGUUAAUGCCUCCGGUUGUGACCCGGGGAAAUGCGGAUUCGAAUUCCGUCGUCUCGA
rnacentral:tRNA from 1 species